rnacentral:rRNA from 1 species
UACGAAGGGGGCUAGCGUUGCUCGGAAUGACUGGGCGUAAAGGGCGCGUAGGCGGAUGGCACAGUCAGAUGUGAAAUUCCUGGGCUUAACCUGGGGGCUGCAUUUGAUACGUGUGAUCUAGAGUGAGGAAGAGGGUUGUGGAAUUCCCAGUGUAGAGGUGAAAUUCGUAGAUAUUCGCAAGAACACCAGUGGCGAAGGCGGCUCACUGGCCCGGUACUGACGCUGAGAUGCGAAAGCGUGGGGAGCAAACAGG